GAAACGACUUCUAGAAUCUCAAAAGGUUUCCUCCUCAUGCGAAACUUCCAAUGUUGCAAAUGGAAAUGGUCCUGGAAUUCAGAAUCUAAUGCUGGCAAUUGAACAUGUGCUUGAAGUCGCCGUGCGGGUAUAUGAAAUAUGUGCUGAGUAUGAGCGUCAAUUGGAAGAAUGAGUGUUAUUUAUUUAAUCCUUCCACUUCAUGAAUCCAUAUAGAGGUUUUGUGCCUUAUUGAGUAUGUCAUUGUGGAGAUAAUAAGUGGUUUUCUUUUCUUUAAUGGCUAGAUUAGAAACCGUCAGUAACUAAUAUUUUUGCAGGCUAAUCUAUUUUAAAAAACACUUGAAACAGUUUCUUAUUUGUCGUAUCCUGAAUUUUCUGUCCGAAGCCUAAACAAGUGUGUUAGCGUCUGUUAUGUAUUUGAGGUUUCAUUGAUAUCUAUAAAAUAGUUGGCUAACAACGAAAAAGAAAAGAAAAGGGCAAAAGACGUUAAUUAAGGAAAUGUUUUCAUGGAAAAUGAUUGCUAAAGCAUGAGGAAUGUGGAGAUGAUUAUUGUGAGAUCAAAUCUUGAGAACUGGGUCAAUGAAUCCAGAACUUUGACAGGAGGUAGAGUUUGUAGUAACACGAUUCGGCAAGACACAAUUGUUGCAAGAUCAAGUGAUGUGAGAAUUGGGGCAAUAAGUUCAGAACUUCGAGUGAUUCUUGUUAUUCUCGUGAGGUGAAAAUAGAACUUUAAUAUUCUAUAAAUUAGUAACAGGUAUUAAUUCUGGUGGUAUGUUUCAAUUGAUGAGAAUAAUGAGAUAUUAAAUUUCUAUCCCGCAUUGGUUAAAUUAUGUUGAUUCAAUAUCGUCUCAAAUGCUUGAAAUUUAUUCAACAUAGUUUCGUUGGCAUGUUAAUUUAGGAGCAGGCUUUCAUGUUUAAUUUGUUUCAUUUUCUUUUGUCUGGAAAUUUGAGACGAUAAAUCAUAGAGAAGAAUUGAGAUAUAAGAGACUU